rnacentral:rRNA from 1 species
UACGGAGGGAGCUAGCGUUAUUCGGAAUUACUGGGCGUAAAGCGCACGUAGGCCGGCUUUGAUAAGUUAGAGGUGAAAGCCUGGAGCUCAACUCCAGAACUGCCUUUAAGACUGCAUCGCUUGAAUCCAGGAGAGGUGAGUGGAAUUCCGAGUGUAGAGGUGAAAUUCGUAGAUAUUCGGAAGAACACCAGUGGCGAAAGGGCGGCUCACUGGACUGGUAUUGACGCUGAGACGCGAAAGCGU